ACAGUAACCCUGCCUGUGGCUCUUCUAGAGGUACUGCCGGUCCCAAGCCCGGGUAAAGGAGGAGGAUUGA
rnacentral:ribozyme from 2 species